UUUUAUUUUUCAUUUAACAAUUAUAGUGCGGUUUUACAAAUUUAAUGCUUGGUAAUGUUAACUAGCACGGAAAAUCAAACUAUUAUACAGCAAACACAUAGUGUGUAUCGACAUUGAUUAAAGGCCUGCGUCAUGGAAUCUAUUCUAAUGCCGUAAUCUUAAAUAAAAAUAAAGAUAAAAAUUGCUUCUUCACGCGGAUGUGGCCGCCCUCGCUAUUCUCUCCUAGGAAGGAAACACCAACUCCAACUCCAUCUUUAUAUAUAGGUAGAUGCUAGCGUAGCAACAACUCCAUCGUCCUCAACUGCUACAACCUAACCUCUCGUCAUCCUGAUAUCUUCCUUCUUUAAUAACUCCCAUCUGUGUGUGCUAGAGCUUGCCAAGAGUUUCCUUCAAACAUGAGUCAGAAUCAGGCUACAGUUGUGCUGCCUUGUGUUGUUGUUGUGCCUUGGACGCUUGCUUCUGAGGAUUGAUGGAGUUUCCUGCACCAUUGAUGUUUUAUUUGUGUUUUGUUCCUUGCAUAUAUGCUUUUCGGGGUUUUUAUUGUAAUAGAAUGUGACCAUGUGAUGUGGCUUGAUGAUUUCUGGGACCAUUUUGAUGUAAUAAAUUAUUUUUUCAUAUA